AUCUUAUUUCAAGGUUUGAAUAUUUAAAAUCUUCGUACGCACUUUAUUAAAAUUUUUGAAACAUUUUUCUAGCAGGAAGUGCAGUAAAUGUUCAUUAAAGAGUUUGCUAAAUUACGAUACAGCUUCAAGUUCAAGUUCAAGAUUGCACACGUUAAAUAAUUAAUAAGAGAGGUACAAAUUUGCAAUAAACCAUUUGUACAAAUUCCGGCAGUAUUAUUUUCAACGAAUUUUAACCGAUUUUUUUACAAAAGAAAAACAGUAAAAAAAAUGAGACUCGCAACCACCUCUAUUCGCAUCGGAUUGCUUUCCGUCUUCUUCGUCGUCCUGAUCCAAUUGGACAUCGCCACGUGUCGCAGCGUGCCCCUGACUGACGAAGAUACGGAAUUAAGUCGCCCUUCGUUGGACGAUGUUUCGUCUUCUUCAAAAGGUCGGAAAUCUGAAGUCGAAGACUUUGUCGUGGCCCCAGCGGCGGAUGAUAUUAUUAUAAUCGUUAGCGCGGAGGAUGACUCGCCCGCGCAGGCGGGAGAUUUGAAACGCAUCAAGAGAAACAAGACUAGAAUAAGGUAUCAUAAGAAGAUCAUUAUCCGUGGAGGGUUCGGACUGGACAACUAAAUAUUUAGGUUAUAUUUAAGAUAAGCUAGAGAUAUAUGCAAUGUAAAUAAUUGAUAAGUUAAUCAUUAGUAAUUUAAUGAAAAUGUAAAUAAAUGAAGACGAAUAAGAAUUUAAUUCGCAAAAAUUUUAA